UGUAGUGGACCUGGGAUUUCUAGAAGUGCCAAUGGAUGAAGAUAAUCAAAGAAUGGACAGUGCCACAGCCUAAGAAGAAUUGUCCUCCAAAGAGACAAAGGUUUCCCACAAAGAAGGUGCAGGAUAUGUCUCCAGAAUUGGACCCAAAAGAGCAUUCUGGACAAUUUGAUUUUGAGAGGUUUGAGGAUGGACACACUGCAAAAAUCUUCCAAAGAUCUGAUAUUCUAGGUGAAGAGACCUUUCCUAUCAGACAGCUGCACGAUCUUAGGUCAGGAGUAGCUAUUCUAGACAAGUGGUCAGACGGCAGAUUUUAUAGGGCCACUGUUGAAUACAUUGGGCAGCCAAACCAGAUUGAAAAAAAGGUUUAAAAGAAAAACAAUGACAGAUUCUUAGAUAUGAACAAGCAAGAGAAGGGCCGACCACCUCAAUCAACAGUACGUCAGUCACCCACAACUGAACACUCACAACUGAAGAUGUCGGAUCAAUACCCCCUCUCUGCAGAAGAAACACAGCCAGUCCAUCUCUCUAGGGUGGCAACGCACCCGCCCUGACAGCAUCAACCAGCUCCAAUCUAACAGCACACACCAACUCUAGUUGGACAGCAUCCCCCAGCUCCCAUGAGACAACACACACCCACCCUGGUGAGACAGCUUCCAGCUUCCAACCUGGUGAGACAGCUUCCAGCC
rnacentral:lncRNA from 1 species